ensembl:lncRNA
UUAGUUUGUAUAUGUGUACAUAUAGUAUGUAUAUUUACAGUACAGUAUGUUGUGUUUGUUGACAUAUUUUCAGGUGGAAGCAGAAUAUGUGAGGAUUACUACUGCUGCACAUGUUCCAAGGCUUUUUACACAACUUGACCAAUACACUGACCAGCUCAUAAAAGUCUUCAAGAAAAAAGGAGGCGUUGCAGGGAAGAAAAUUAGACAAACUUUGGCCCCAGCCACACAGAAGGAAACUAUUGAAAAGGGGAGGGAGUGUGUCCUCAGGGCACUACCUUUUUACCUGAAUGAAGACCCAAGCAUCCUCUUCAAAGAAUAAUUGCUACAGCUGUUCAGAGGGAGCUGGAACAAAUUACCCUUGCUAUCUUUACCAUCGAAAGAGCUGAUGCCAGCACUCCUCCAGCCGAUGUGGGUAUAACCAUCUAGUGUGUCCUGCAUGACCUGGAAGACCUGGCCUCUGCAUGUGCACUCUUAAUGGGUGGGAUAUAUGCACUGAAUCUCAGUUAACCUUAAGACUGAAAGCUUUCUUUGAAGUACUUCAGAAGCUCUUCCUUCAUCUGUAUGUCAGCAGACUCUUGACCAAGGUACAGAUGCUCAAGAAUACACUGAAUGAAUAAGCCAACCUUUAAUUUGGAUGAUGAAUGUUCUGUCAGAUGGACAGAAGUUUUUCGGAGGCUGAAUGGGAAUAAAAUGGUAAUUUGUAAAUGACAGAUAACGGGAAAAUUACAUUUA